GUAAAAUCUAAUCUACUUACCAUAAAAUUGGAACUAUAAAGAGAAUGUUAGCAUGGCCCCUGUGCAAGGAUGACAUGUGAAUUCUACUUUUCAUCUCAUU
rfam:Ornithorhynchus anatinus chromosome 1, whole genome shotgun sequence.